GCGGAUGUGGCGAAAUCGGUAUACGCAUUAGAUUCAGAUUCUAAUAAGUUUACACUUGUGCAGGUUCAAGUCCUGUCAUCCGCA
rnacentral:tRNA from 1 species